UUAUUUGAAGCUAUUAUAAGCAAUGAACUUUUAAUUCAUAUAUAGUUUAAAUUAAUAAACCAAAUAAA
rnacentral:tRNA from 1 species